rnacentral:rRNA from 1 species
UACGUAGGGUGCAAGCGUUAAUCGGAAUUACUGGGCGUAAAGCGUGCGCAGGCGGCUUUGCAAGACAGAUGUGAAAUCCCCGGGCUUAACCUGGGAACUGCAUUUGUGACUGCAUGGCUAGAGUGCGGCAGAGGGGGAUGGAAUUCCGCGUGUAGCAGUGAAAUGCGUAGAUAUGCGGAGGAACACCGAUGGCGAAGGCGAUCCCCUGGGCCUGCACUGACGCUGAGGCACGAAAGCGUGGGGAGCAAACAGG